AUGGGGAGGGUGGUGACGCCCCUGGGUGUCACUGGGCAGCGCGUGGGGCAGCUGCUGGGUCCCAAGGGUGCAGGGCGGGUGCCCCCGGGAGGCUCGGGGCAGGUACCUGGGGUUCUGGGGGCGGCUCGGGCGUGCUCAGCUGGGGAGGGGUCGUGGAAGUCGAAAUUCAGCGUGUUGGAGCCGCGGUGGCGGAUGAUGGGCACCUGCUGCACGAGGACAGGGCGAAUGGGGGGGGGGGGUGAGGAGCAGCUCCCCAAAUCCCCCCUCAACAGGGGUCCUGCAGCCCCCGGCCCCACUCAGCCACAUCACCACGUGCUGGGGGGGGGUCCCCAUAACCCUGCUGGGGGGCACAGGGGCACGGCCUCCGGGCUCAGAGCCAGGAUAGGGCCCCCCAUGGGUCCCUAUAGGACCCCUCACGGUGGGUCUGUGCCCCCCCAGCCCCCUCGGCGCUCCCCCACUUGUUCUCCACGUGGCCACGGACGGAUCCAGCCCCCAGGCUUGGCACCACCUUCGGGAACCCCCCACCCAAACCCACGUCCCCCCACCACAAGCGGCCCCGUGCCCCCAGCUCCACCAGCUCCACUCCAGGGGCUCUGCCUGGGGGCCCCCAAAAUCCCCGUGAGCCUUUUAAGGGAAAAAAAAGACACCCAGGGGAGGGCUGGCGUGGUGGCCAAGUGGUGGCACAUCGUCCUGGCAUCCCGGUGCCAGCCACGUCCCCGCCGUGCCGUGCCGGGAGCCGCCAGGCGAAGCGCGCCCGGGCAUGUGGGGGCAGAAGGGGGGGGGGGAGCGGGCGCAGCCUCCCCCCCCGGGGCCGAGCAACGAAACAGAAAGUCCAAAAAGUAUUUUUCCCCACCCUGCCAAGCAAACAGGGAGGGGAGGAGGAGAAGCAGGAGGAGAGCAGCAGCGGGAGGAGUGGGAAGGGCGGCAGAGGCGCAGCUCAUGAGUCACCGCCGCAGCGCGCUGCCAGGGCUGCAGCAUGGGGCGGGGGCGCAGCAGGAUGGGGAUGGGACCCCCCCCCCCGUCCCCUUAACCCCCUUGUUCCCCCACUUUGGGGUGGCUCCGGCACGAGGGGAGCCCUUUGGGGUGCUGUCAGCACCCGUGUCCUGCUCGCCCCCUGCCCAGGAGCCCCCCGAGCAUCACCGUGCGCACCGGGCACGGCGGCGCCGCGUUGCGCCCCUCACCCGUGGGACCCCUCCGUGUGGGGUCUUGGGCACCUCGGGGGAUCCUGGCAUGGCCCCAAGCACCUCGCAGACCCCUCCUCAAAAAGCCAGCUGGCUGGGGAGCCCCUCCCGGCUGCCUUCUCACCCCCAGCACCCCGCAUGUCACCUACGUGGGACCCCCAGCCCCCCACUCCCACCAUCACCAGCUCCGCACUGA
rnacentral:lncRNA from 1 species